rnacentral:sRNA from 1 species
CAGGCUGCUCCAGGUCCCCCAGAAGCUCCAGAUCCAGAUCCCUGACUGGGGGUGUAGGUCAGGAGGAACGCGGGGCCCCAUUCCGGGGACUCCCCAACCUCCUCCUCUUCCACCAUCAGGAGGCCGAGAAUCCAGAGAAAGAUCUCUGACCACUAAAUCUGUGUGCAGCCUCUGAAGAACCAAUCCAUUCAGGAUGGGAAACCACGCAGGCAAACGAGAAUUAAAUGCCGAGAAGGCCAGUACGAACAUCUCCCAGAGCAGCAAAGUCCUGCGGAAAAGAGUGUCAGUGGCAUCUUUUGUUAUGAGAGGAGAUGGAAUCCUCCUGGGUGACUGAUAGCUGAGAGGGAGGGAGACAAUCAGGAGAGCCAAGAAGAGAGAUGGGUUCCAGGAGGAGAAAGUUGUCCACAACAGGAAGAGCUGCCACAGGGCUCCCCUCUGCCCGGCCCCUGCAGACCCCAUCUUCAGAGAAAGGAAAGCCCGAUCACUCAGAAAGUCACUUCCUUCCGGUCAUCCAAACCCACGCCUGGAUUGUUGUGACACGGCUGUCAUGCCAUUGAGCGCUAAAUUCCCUGGGAAAUUCUUCCUUUCUGAUCUGACUGCAGUGUGCUGGCAAUUGACAGAACUGUACGUGUAAAAUUUCUAUUUUAUAGAAUGGUGAAACUAACAGAGGAGAAUCUGAAAAAAAGAGAAACCUGGAUGAACUUUCACGGACAACCUCAGAGGACAAUGAAGUGUUUGGAGAGGCAGAUGCGAACCAGAACAAUGGGACCUCCUCUCAGGACACAGCGGUGACUGACUCCAAGCGCACAGCGGACCCAAAGAAUGCCUGGCAGGAUGCCCACCCAGCUGACCCAGGGAGCCGCCCCCACUUGAUCCGCCUCUUUUCCC